rnacentral:rRNA from 1 species
AUUGAACGCUGGCGGCAGGCCUAACACAUGCAAGUCGAGCGGAUGAAGGGAGCUUGCUCCUGGAUUCAGCGGCGGACUGGUGAGUAAUGCCUAGGAAUCUGCCUGGUAGUGGGGGAUAACGUCCGGAAACGGGCGCUAAUACCGCAUACGUCCUGAGGGAGAAAGUGGGGGAUCUUCGGACCUCACGCUGUCAGAUGAGCCUAGGUCGGAUUAGCUAGUUGGUGGGGUAAAGGCCUACCAAGGCGACGAUCCGUAACUGGUCUGAGAGGAUGAUCAGUCACACUGGAACUGAGACACGGUCCAGACUCCUACGGGAGGCAGCAGUGGGGAAUAUUGGACAAUGGGCGAAAGCCUGAUCCAGCCAUGCCGCGUGUGUGAAGAAGGUCUUCGGAUUGUAAAGCACUUUAAGUUGGGAGGAAGGGCAGUAAGUUAAUACCUUGCUGUUUUGACGUUACCAACAGAAUAAGCACCGGCUAACUUCGUG